UACGGGGGGGGCAAGCGUUGUUCGGAAUUACUGGGCGUAAAGGGCUCGUAGGCGGCCAACUAAGUCGGAUGUGAAAUCCCCAGGCUCAACCUGGGAACUGCUUGGCAUACUGCGGGUCUUGAGGAAGGUAGGGGUUGCCAGAACUGUAGGUGGAGCGGUGAAAUGCGUAGAUAUCUACAGGAAUGCCGAUGGUGAAGACGGGCAACUGGGCCUUUCCUGACGCUGAGGCACGAAAGCGUGGGGAGCAAACAGG
rnacentral:rRNA from 1 species